rnacentral:rRNA from 1 species
CCUACGGGAGGCAGCAGUGGGGAAUAUUGGACAAUGGGCGAAAGCCUGAUCCAGCAAUGCCGCGUGAGUGAUGAAGGCCUUAGGGUUGUAAAGCUCUUUUACCAGGGAUGAUAAUGACAGUACCUGGAGAAUAAGCUCCGGCUAACUCCGUGCCAGCAGCCGCGGUAAUACGGAGGGAGCUAGCGUUGUUCGGAAUUACUGGGCGUAAAGCGUACGUAGGCGGUUAUUCAAGUCAGAGGUGAAAGCCUGGAGCUCAACUCCAGAACUGCCUUUGAAACUAGAUAGCUAGAAUCUUGGAGAGGUGAGUGGAAUUCCGAGUGUAGAGGUGAAAUUCGUAGAUAUUCGGAAGAACACCAGUGGCGAAGGCGACUCACUGGACAAGUAUUGACGCUGAGGUACGAAAGCGUGGGGAGCAAACAGGAUUAGAUACCCUGGUAGUCCACGCCGUAAACGAUGAUAACUAGCUGUUCGGGCUCUACGAGCUUGUAGUGGCGCNGCUACGACAUUAAGUUAUCCGUCCGUCGGGAGGUACGGUCGCGAGAAUUAAACUAACAAAGAAAGUUAGUACGGCGUGAGACGUAGCCGAACGGACGACGACGAGGGAGGUAGG